ACCGGUUCUCGUUAGAUCACCGAAGUCAAGCAUCAUUGGGCGCGGUCAGUACUUGGGUGGGUGACCACCUGGGAACACCGCGUGCCGUU